rnacentral:tRNA from 1 species
AUUUAAAUAGCUUAUUUAUAAAGCAUAGUAUUGAAGAUACUAAGAUAGUUUAAAAACUUUUA